ensembl:lncRNA
UGUUUGAGUACAUACUCAGAAAAUUUGCUGCAACCUAACUAAAAUCCCUGCCUAGGGGGAUACAUACAUAUCUCAGCAUAGUUAUCUCUUAAUCCAGAAAGCCUUUUGUUUUUUUCUUUAGCAGACUGUUGGUUUAUAAACCAAAAAAAAUCAACCUGCAAAUUUUUGAUCUGUGAUAUCUAGGCCUCUAGGAGAUAAUCAUUAUUUUAUCUCUACAUGUGUAGCAAAAGUCAGAUGCUCAGAUGUGUUUUGCAGCAGGAAUAUGUUUCCUUUCUCCAGUGGAUAGAUUAUACUUUUUCUCCCUCUCAUCACCUUCUAGUUUCAGAAGAGUCCAUGCAAAUAUUUGGCAAGUUUCUUUGACGGAGGUCAUGGAGAAUGGGAGAAGUACCUGAGGACUGUUGGAAAGCCACCAUCACUCCAGUCUUCAAAAAG